rnacentral:sRNA from 1 species
ACUUCCGUCAUAGGGGAGUAGCCAUUUCCGAGCCCGGCUCGGAAAGCUUGCGUCAACACACUUGGCCUCACACAGCCAUGGCGCAGGUACUGGCGGCCCGGGCAUGCCCCGAGGGCUGGCAGCCGGC